UUGGAGGGCAAGUCUGGUGCCAGCAGCCGCGGUAAUUCCAGCUCCAAUAGCGUAUAUUAAAGUUGUUGCAGUUAAAAAGCUCGUAGUUGAAUUUCGGGGUUCAUACGUUGGUCGGGCUUUUUGGUCUGUACUAGCGUAAUGGAUUCCUACCUUCUGAAUAACCGGCAUGCCAUUAAUUUGGUGCGCCGGGGAAGCAGGACUGUUACCUUGAAAAAAUUAGAGUGCUUAAAGCAGGCUAUCGCCUGAAUACAUUAGCAUGGAAUAAUGAAAUAGGACGGCAUGGUUCUAUUUUGUUGGUUUCUAGGAUCACCGUAAUGAUUAAUAGGGAUAGUUGGGGGCAUUAGUAUUCAAUUGUCAGAGGUGAAAUUCUUGGAUUUAUUGAAGACUAACUUCUGCGAAAGCAUUUGCCAAGGAUGUUUUCAUUAAUCAAGAACGAAAGUUAGGGGAUCGAAGACGAUCAGAUACCGUCGUAGUCUUAACCAUAAACUAUGCCGACUAGGGAUCGGACGAUGUUAAUUUUUUUAAUGACUCGUUCGGCGCCUACGGGAAAC
rnacentral:rRNA from 1 species